AUGUGUUUGACGAAAUGCCCCCAAGACCAUGAGUUUGAGGUGGACGAGGAGGGUGAGGGCAUUGUCGACGCGCCGAAAGGAAGAGCGGGCAAUUACACCACCAAAGAUGACAUCUUACUAUGCAAUACUUGGUUGCAAGUGUCGAGGGAUCCAUCCAUUGGAGGUGAUCAAAGUAGAGAUGCUUAUUGGGGGCGAAUGAAAGAACACUUUGAUGCUCACAACGUGAGUGGAAUUGACCGCUCUGAGAGAUCACUUCAGUCCCGAUGGUCGACAAUCAACUCGGAUUGUCAAAAGUGGGCGGCGGCACAAAAGGCAGUUGACAAGAUUAACCCAAGUGGCACAAAUGAGGAUGAUAGAUACAACAUUGCACAAAACUUGUUCAAAGAAGAGACGAGGACAACCAAGAAGGGGAAGAUCAAGAAAGGAAGGAUCUUUACCUUGCCUCAUUGCUAUGAAGUGUUAAAGGAUGAUGAGAAAUGGAAGAAGCGUGAAGAUUUGGAUGAUUUGCAUUUGAGCAACAAUCGCAAGCGAACAAUUGAGUUGAAUGAUGAUGAGGAGGAGGAUGCAUCAAGUGAUGACGGCAAGAGAAGCCCCACACCCAACUCGGUUUCAUACUCGAAGGCAAAACGACCGGAUGGGUGCAAGAAAGACAAAACCGAAAAUAAGAAGAGGAAAGGAGAUGAUGAGCUCAAAAAUGUUAUGGAAGCAAUUGUGAAGGCAAAAAAAGAAGCCAACGAGGUGAGGAAAAUGGCAAGGAACCAAGAUGCCGCGACCGAGGAGAGGAGGUUGGCAGCCGAGGAGAGAAGGGUGGCGGCCGAGGAGCGGAAGGUGGCUUUGGAGGAGAGGAAGGUGAGCAAUGAGGAGCAAACUAGAUUGUUGGAAUAG
rnacentral:rRNA from 1 species